GAGCAUCACUGCUAUUGAUCAGCAUCAGAUGCCCUUGGGGUGCUGUGCCAUGAUCUCCCCUCCCUAUUGCAGCUCUUUGUGUUUGCUGGGUCAUUGGAGGUCUACAAGUGUGUUCUCUGGUCCCAGCUGCAGCAGGCAGCACCAGUUAAGGACUCCCGGAACUUAGCAUGGAUUGGACAGAUAGAUUAGCAUGUGAAGAAAGCUGUCCACCGUGGACACAAGUUGAUGUCAUUUGUGGUUCAUCCAACACGUGUUUAUUGUUCAUAUUGUGCUGGUGUUACGCACAAGGCUCUCUUCUCAUGAUGUUUACCUCCUAGUGCGUAGACCAGCUGAUAGACGUGUAAGCGCGUAAGCAAGCACCCUGGAGUUGUAUGUGCUAGGAAGGGAGUGAGCAGUGCUGUGACGGAGUGGCUGGUGCAGGGUGCCCUAGAGAGGAAGAGGGCCUCCGAGCAGAUCCCUGAGAGAAGGAGCUGGCGAUUCGAAGGUCUGGAGGAAAAUAUUUCAGACAGGACAGACAGCAAGUGGGAAGCCCUUGAGGGAGGAACAGAAAGGAUCCUGGAGAAUGGAGAGAAGGUGUUGGAUGAUGAGAUUGGAGGCCACAUAGAGCCUAUUAGGCCGUGGUGAGGAGUUUGGAUUUUACUUCAAGUAUGAUGGGAAGGAUUUUUGGCAGAAGAGUGACAUUUUCUAAUUCUGGUUUUUGAGUAUCACAUUGGCUGAUGAAUGGAGAAUGGUUGGUGGGGGCAGAGUGAAUCAAGGAGACCAGUUAGGGGAUUGUCCAGAUGCAGAAGUUGUGACCUUGGUGGCAACCCAAUCUAGGAAACAGAUGAGCAGAGACAUCUGUGUCCACACCUGGCCAUGCUCUUACUAUUUAGAACCUGAGAAGCAAUGGGUCCCUGGAGAACUUUCAUUAACUUCUCUCUCGCUAAAAUUUAUCGCUGAUAAAACUGGCAAAAUUCUUGUCAGCUUUCCCCUUUCUAGUAUAAUUGAGAUCAAGAAAGAGGCUUCCCAUUUUAUCUUCCGUUCUAUCACCAUCCUGGAAAAGGACCAUGUUAAGCACUGGUUUAGUUCCUUACAGCCUAGUCGGAAUGCUGUUUUCAAUAUCAUCGAGCAUUUUUGGAGAGAGCUGCUGCUGUGUCAGCCAGGAGCUACUGUUCAGGCAUCAUCCUCCCCCAUGACCAAGGGGAAGGAACUGACUGGUUUGAUGGCGUGUUCCCAGAAGCGCUUGGAAGAUACAGCAAAAGUCCUCCACCAUCAGGGUGAGCAGUUUGAUAACAUCAUGGAAGGACUAGACAAGAUUGAAUCUGACCUGGAUGUGGCUGACAGGUUGCUUACACAACUGGAAUCCCCUUCUUGGUGGCCUUUUAGUUCCAAGCUUUGGAAGACACCGUCAGAAACAAAGCCUGCGGAAGGCGCCUCAGCGUCUGGUUCUGAGGCUUUGGGGAAAGAAGGGAUAGUCAUCAAAAUUCCUGCCGUUAUUUCCCAAAGAACAGAGUCUCAUGCUAAACCAGGAAAGCUUAUCGUCCUUGUUUCUGGCUUGGAAGUCCGUGACUCAGAUUCCUUGCUCAUGCACAGAUUUGAAAGAGAGGAUGUAGAUGACAUUAAGGUUCGCACUCCUUAUGAAGUGAGCAUACGCCAACGGUUUAUUGGGAAGCCAGACAUAACUUACCAUUUGAUAUCUGCAAAAAUGCCAGAGGUUAUCCCGAUUUUAGAAGUGCAGUUCAGCAAGAAGAUUGAGUUUUUAGAAGAUGCCUUGAUGCUCAGAAGCACGAGAGCCUCUUCCCCGGCAGAGAAGGGCUGCUCAACCUGGCAUGCAGGUGAGUAGCCAGCAAAACAGCCUGAUCACUGACUUCCACAAUGACCGUCAAACUUGGCACACCAGUGGUAAGUAUUUCAUAUAAUACGUCACCUAAAGCAGCUGCUGGUUUGUAAAUAAAAAUAAUUCCAAACCGUUUUCCUUAGAACUUGGCAUCUGUGAAUGUCACAUCACUGAGGUUUAUUGUACACUUGAUAGAUACGUAGGUUUCAAAAUAGGUCGGAAGUGGCUUUGGCAAAUCUUUCAGAAUGAAAGAAAGCUCCAAGUUAAGUGUUUUCACUGUGUCUUGUUCUCUCAUCUCUUUCAUCGGUUUGAUUUGGAAACCAGCAUUUUAGGGCCUUGUCUGCCUCAUGGAGAGCCAGCUGGCAUCCUCUCUCUGCCUGCUCUGAUGGAUCUCUGUUUCCCCUUCACCGUUGCUGAGCGUCUCUCCAUCUCCCUUGGUAUUUAAUGAGGUCUUUCCAACCCACCGUCCAGCACCUGGGCUGAUGGACCGAGUGAGGCCCCGCGAGCCCUCAGGGAGCCCAGGAGGGCAGAGCCAGCUGCAGAUGAGCGAGCCCUUCAUCUCCGAGGAAGAAGCCCACGAGCUGACACAG